rnacentral:pre_miRNA from 9 species
UCUCGAUAGCGUAAAAGUUAAAUCAAUUUUGGAAUAAAGUUGGAAUGUUUUCAUACGUUUGUCGCUAGGGGCGCUGUUCCAACUGCAUACAAAUUUGAGUUAACUUUUACGCUAUCGA